rnacentral:rRNA from 1 species
AGGUAGUAACCUAUUUGUAGUAAAAACCUAUUUAUAUAGGCGGCAUUUCUUCUUAUUAGAGGAACUUGUUAUUUAAUCGAUAAUCCACGAUAAUUUUUACUUUUUUAUAAAAUUUAUAUACCGCCAUCUAAAGAAUUAAUUUAACAAUAUCAUUUCUAAACAAAAACUAAAAAGUUAGGUCAAGGUGUAAUCAAUAAAAAAGCAAUAAAUGAGUUACAUUAAAUUUUAUUUAAGGAUUUUAAUAUAAAAACAUUAAACAAAAAAGGAUUUAAAAGUAUUACUAUACUAAUAAUUUAUUAAGAAUUAGAUAAAAAAUGUGC